rnacentral:rRNA from 1 species
CCUACGGGAGGCAGCAGUGGGGAAUAUUGCACAAUGGGUGAAAGCCUGAUGCAGCAACGCCGCGUGAGCGAUGAAGGCCUUCGGGUCGUAAAGCUCUGUCCUCAAGGAAGAUAAUGACGGUACUUGAGGAGGAAGCCCCGGCUAACUACGUGCCAGCAGCCGCGGUAAU